UUUUUUUUUUUUUUUUUUUUUUUUUUUUUUUUUUUUUUUUUUGAAUUCG
rnacentral:ribozyme from 1 species